rnacentral:rRNA from 1 species
GGGUUGUGAGGUUAAGCGACUAAGCGUACACGGUGGAUGCCCUGGCAGUCAGAGGCGAUGAAGGACGUGCUAAUCUGCGAUAAGCGUCGGUAAGGUGAUAUGAACCGUUAUAACCGGCGAUUUCCGAAUGGGGAAACCCAGUGUGAUUCGUCACACUAUCAUUAACUGAAUCCAUAGGUUAAUGAGGCGAACCGGGGGAACUGAAACAUCUAAGUACCCCGAGGAAAAGAAAUCAACCGAGAUUCCCCCAGUAGCGGCGAGCGAACGGGGAGCAGCCCAGAGCCUGAAUCAGUGUGUGUGUUAGUGGAAGCGUCUGGAAAGGCGCGCGAUACAGGGUGACAGCCCCGUACACAAAAAUGCACAUACUGUGAGCUCGAUGAGUAGGGCGGGACACGUGGUAUCCUGUCUGAAUAUGGGGGGACCAUCCUCCAAGGCUAAAUACUCCUGACUGACCGAUAGUGAACCAGUACCGUGAGGGAAAGGCGAAAAGAACCCCGGCGAGGGGAGUGAAAAAGAACCUGAAACCGUGUACGUACAAGCAGUGGGAGCCUCUUUAUGGGGUGACUGCGUACCUUUUGUAUAAUGGGUCAGCGACUUAUAUUCUGUAGCAAGGUUAACCGAAUAGGGGAGCCGAAGGGAAACCGAGUCUUAACUGGGCGUUAAGUUGCAGGGUAUAGACCCGAAACCCGGUGAUCUAGCCAUGGGCAGGUUGAAGGUUGGGUAACACUAACUGGAGGACCGAACCGACUAAUGUUGAAAAAUUAGCGGAUGACUUGUGGCUGGGGGUGAAAGGCCAAUCAAACCGGGAGAUAGCUGGUUCUCCCCGAAAGCUAUUUAGGUAGCGCCUCGUGAAUUCAUCUCCGGGGGUAGAGCACUGUUUCGGCAAGGGGGUCAUCCCGACUUACCAACCCGAUGCAAACUGCGAAUACCGGAGAAUGUUAUCACGGGAGACACACGGCGGGUGCUAACGUCCGUCGUGAAGAGGGAAACAACCCAGACCGCCAGCUAAGGUCCCAAAGUCAUGGUUAAGUGGGAAACGAUGUGGGAAGGCCCAGACAGCCAGGAUGUUGGCUUAGAAGCAGCCAUCAUUUAAAGAAAGCGUAAUAGCUCACUGGUCGAGUCGGCCUGCGCGGAAGAUGUAACGGGGCUAAACCAUGCACCGAAGCUGCGGCAGCGACACUAUGUGUUGUUGGGUAGGGGAGCGUUCUGUAAGCCUGUGAAGGUGUGCUGUGAGGUAUGCUGGAGGUAUCAGAAGUGCGAAUGCUGACAUAAGUAACGAUAAAGCGGGUGAAAAGCCCGCUCGCCGGAAGACCAAGGGUUCCUGUCCAACGUUAAUCGGGGCAGGGUGAGUCGACCCCUAAGGCGAGGCCGAAAGGCGUAGUCGAUGGGAAACAGGUUAAUAUUCCUGUACUUGGUGUUACUGCGAAGGGGGGACGGAGAAGGCUAUGUUGGCCGGGCGACGGUUGUCCCGGUUUAAGCGUGUAGGCUGGUUUUCCAGGCAAAUCCGGAAAAUCAAGGCUGAGGCGUGAUGA